rnacentral:lncRNA from 11 species
ACCUGACCAGCCGGGCCCAGAGGGUUAAUGCUCCGUUGCCGCCUCCUUCUCCUCCUUCUCUUCCUUCUCCUUCUCUACCACAGCUGUUGCUUGCUUUGCUCCCUCGGCCGCCUUGGGAAGAACUAGAGAGCCUUUUUGCGGUGGUCCAGGUUGGCUCGGCUGAAGAAUGGAGCAGCAGUCCUGGGCUGAGCCACGGUCGGCCUCGCCAUGAGGCCUUGGGCCACUUGGUGCCAGAGCUUGGCUUCCUGACAGACACCUGUCCAGGUGAGACAACGUGGGACCACAUCCCCAACUCCCAGGAAACCUGUGGCAGCGGCCUUGAACUCGCAACUCUCGUCCUGCAUGUGAGAACAGCUCUCCCCAAACCCGGGCCGCCCGGAUGCGAAAUAUGCCGCCAUUGACAUGUGGAGUUCUCCUCCUUGCUAUCAACGUGUUCUUCCUUUGCCACAAAGUGGUAGCCGACCAGUGCAGCGGGGGCAGCAACAUCUUCACCGAAAUCCCGGAGAACAGUCCACACGGCACUUUGGUCUCCCACUUGUCGGUGUUUGGCGACCCGGAGAGCAGCACCGUGCAGCUGACCUUGAGUGGCAUGGAUGCCAACUGGUUCUACC